UGGCGGCGUGCCUAAUACAUGCAAGUCGAGCUUACAGACGAGGAGCUUGCUCCUUUGACGUUAGCGGCGGACGGGUGAGUAACACGUGGAUAACCUACCUAUAAGACUGGGAUAACUUCGGGAAACCGGAGCUAAUACCGGAUAACAUGUUGAACCGCAUGGUUCAACAGUGAAAGACGGUCUUGCUGUCACUUAUAGAUGGAUCCGCGCCGCAUUAGCUAGUUGGUAAGGUAACGGCUUACCAAGGCAACGAUGCGUAGCCGACCUGAGAGGGUGAUCGGCCACACUGGAACUGAGACACGGUCCAGACUCCUACGGGAGGCAGCAGUAGGGAAUCUUCCGCAAUGGGCGAAAGCCUGACGGAGCAACGCCGCGUGAGUGAAGAAGGUCUUCGGAUCGUAAAACUCUGUUAUUAGGGAAGAACAAAUGUGUAAGUAACUAUGCACGUCUUGACGGUACCUAAUCAGAAAGCCACGGCUAACUACGUGCCAGCAGCCGCGGUAAUACGUAGGUGGCAAGCGUUAUCCGGAAUUAUUGGGCGUAAAGCGCGCGUAGGCGGUUUUUUAAGUCUGAUGUGAAAGCCCACGGCUCAACCGUGGAGGGUCAUUGGAAACUGGAAAACUUGAGUGCAGAAGAGGAAAGUGGAAUUCCAUGUGUAGCGGUGAAAUGCGCAGAGAUAUGGAGGAACACCAGUGGCGAAGGCGACUUUCUGGUCUGUAACUGACGCUGAUGUGCGAAAGCGUGGGGAUCAAACAGGAUUAGAUACCCUGGUAGUCCACGCCGUAAACGAUGAGUGCUAAGUGUUAGGGGGUUUCCGCCCCUUAGUGCUGCAGCUAACGCAUUAAGCACUCCGCCUGGGGAGUACGACCGCAAGGUUGAAACUCAAAGGAAUUGACGGGGACCCGCACAAGCGGUGGAGCAUGUGGUUUAAUUCGAAGCAACGCGAAGAACCUUACCAAAUCUUGACAUCCUCUGACCCCUCUAGAGAUAGAGUUUUCCCCUUCGGGGGACAGAGUGACAGGUGGUGCAUGGUUGUCGUCAGCUCGUGUCGUGAGAUGUUGGGUUAAGUCCCGCAACGAGCGCAACCCUUAAGCUUAGUUGCCAUCAUUAAGUUGGGCACUCUAAGUUGACUGCCGGUGACAAACCGGAGGAAGGUGGGGAUGACGUCAAAUCAUCAUGCCCCUUAUGAUUUGGGCUACACACGUGCUACAAUGGACAAUACAAAGGGUAGCGAAACCGCGAGGUCAAGCAAAUCCCAUAAAGUUGUUCUCAGUUCGGAUUGUAGUCUGCAACUCGACUACAUGAAGCUGGAAUCGCUAGUAAUCGUGGAUCAGCAUGCUACGGUGAAUACGUUCCCGGGUCUUGUACACACCGCCCGUCACACCACGAGAGUUUGUAACACCCGAAGCCGGUGGAGUAACCUUUUGGAGCUAGCCGUCGAAGGUGGGACAAAUGAU
rnacentral:rRNA from 1 species